AUUGAACGCUGGCGGCAUGCUUUACACAUGCAAGUCGAACGGCAGCGCGGGGCAACCUGGCUGCGAGUGGCGAACGGUUGCGUAAUAUAUCGGAACGUACCCAGAUCUGGUUUUUAACGUAGCGUAAGUUACGCUAAUACCGCCUACGAUCUACGGCUGCCAGUAGGGGACCGCAAGGCCUUAUGCUUUUUGAGCGGCCGAUAUCUGAUUAGCUAGUUGGUGAGGUAAAGGCUCACCAAGGCGACGAUCAGUAGCUGGUCUGAGAGGACGACCAGCCACACUGGAACUGAGACACGGUCCAGACUCCUACGGGAGGCAGCAGUGGGGAAUUUUGGACAAUGGGCGCAAGCCUGAUCCAGCAAUGCCGCGUGAGUGAAGAAGGCCUUCGGGUUGUAAAGCUCUUUUGUCAGGGAAGAAACGGUAGAGGCUAAUAUCCUUUGCUAAUGACGGUACCUGAAGAAUAAGCACCGGCUAACUACGUG
rnacentral:rRNA from 1 species